rnacentral:rRNA from 1 species
ACUCAAAUGAAUUGACGGGGACCCGCACAAGCAGUGGAGCAUGUGGUUUAAUUCGAUGCAACGCGAAGAACCUUACCCAGACUUGACAUACAGAGGGAUAGUUCAGAGAUGAGCUAGUCCGCAAGGACUUCUGUACAGGUGCUGCAUGGCUGUCGUCAGCUCGUGCCGUGAGGUGUUGGGUUAAGUCCCGCAACGAGCGCAACCCUUAUCGUCAGUUGCCAACAGGUAAUGCUGGGAACUCUGGCGAGACUGCCCGGGUUAACCGGGAGGAAGGUGAGGAUGAUGUCAAGUCCGCAUGGCCCUUACGUCUGGGGCUACACACGUGCUACAAUGGGAAGACACAGAGGGUAGCGAAACCGCGAGGUGGAGCCAAUCUCCAAAACUUCCCCCAGUUCAGAUUGUAGUCUGCAACUCGACUACAUGAAGCCGGAAUUGCUAGUAAUGGCGUGUCAGCAACAGCGCCGUGAAUACGUUCCCGGGUCUUGUACACACCGCCCGU